UCGAAGGUAGCAUAAUCAGUAGUCUUUUAAUUGAAGGCUUGUAUGAAUGGUUGGACGAAAUAUUAACUGUUUCAUUUAAAAUUUUUAUAGAAUUUUAUUUUUUAGUCAAAAAGCUAAAAUAUUAUUAAAAGACGAGAAGACCCUAUAAAUCUUGAUAUUUAUAUUAAUUUUAAUUAUAAAGAUUAAUUAAAUUAUAAUUGAUAAAAAUAUUUUAUUGGGGUGAUAUUAAAAUUUAUAAAACUUUUAAUUAUUUUUUACCAUUAAUUUAUGAAUAAAUGAUCCAUUAAUAAUGAUUAAAAAUUUAAGUUACUUUAGGGAUAACAGCGUAAUUUUUUUGGAGAGUUCAUAUUGAUAAAAAAGAUUGCGACCUCGAUGUUGGAUUAA
rnacentral:rRNA from 1 species